GUGCUCACUUUGGCAGCACAUAUACUAAAAUUGGAAUGAUACAGAGAAGAUUAUCACGGCCCAUGCGCAAGGAUGAUACACAAAUUUGUGAAGUGUUUCAUAUUUUU
ensembl:snRNA U6 U6 spliceosomal RNA